GGGGAGAAAAAGAGAAAAGAAAGCUGAGGGGAAGGUGUUGGAGCGGCAGACGCGGGGCGAGCGGCAGCGUUGAGCGCCCUCCCGCGCGCUUUCUUUCCCCCUCCCCACCCUCUCCACACGCACACACCUGGUCCGACGCUGCUCCCGAAUUCUCUCAGAAUAGUUUCUCCUCGUAGUUCCCCCUCCCCCUUAUUCCCCCCUCCCUCCCCCCCCGCGGCGGAGGGACUCGCGGCGCUGCUGUGGCGGCGGCGCCGGCGCUGAGAGGACGGGCGGGCAGGCAGGCCCCCGGCGGCGGGGUCGGCGCGAGCGGGGAGGGACGAGGGCUCGCCGGCUAGCUGGCUCGAGCCCGGCAGUCGUAGGAGCGGGAGGAUUAGCAGCAGCAGCUGCGCCGCCGCCGCCGCCGCCGCCGCCGCCCCAGACUCCCUCCCCGGGCACCGGUGGGGAGAAUGACGGAGCUCCAGUCCGCGCUGCUACUGCGGAGACAGCUGGCAGAGCUCAACAAAAACCCAGUGGAAGGCUUCUCAGCAGGUUUAAUAGAUGACAAUGAUCUUUAUCGAUGGGAAGUUCUUAUUAUUGGGCCUCCAGAUACACUCUAUGAAGGCGGUGUCUUCAAGGCUCAUCUUACUUUCCCAAAAGACUAUCCUCUCAGGCCGCCAAAAAUGAAAUUUAUCACAGAAAUAUGGCAUCCAAAUGUUGACAAAAAUGGUGAUGUCUGUAUUUCUAUCCUUCAUGAACCUGGUGAAGACAAGUAUGGCUAUGAGAAACCUGAGGAGCGCUGGCUUCCCAUUCAUACAGUGGAAACCAUAAUGAUUAGUGUAAUCUCUAUGCUGGCAGAUCCCAACGGCGAUUCUCCUGCUAAUGUUGAUGCAGCGAAAGAAUGGAGGGAAGAUAGAAAUGGAGAAUUCAAAAGAAAAGUUGCCCGCUGUGUAAGAAAAAGCCAAGAAACUGCUUUUGAGUGACACUUAAUUCAGUUAGUAGCUUCACUUUUUUCAGGGAUGAAGAGGUACAGCCUAAAUACUGCAAAAAGUGUCUCAGCCCAUGGAAGGAAAAGGAGAAUGGGAAACAUCUCAGAAGGGACACUCCCCAGUUUUCUGGAAAGUAAAAGGAGGGGAGAAAUUCUUUCAGACUUGCAAGAUUCUGUUACUGUAACCUUACAAUAAAGGUUUCCAAUUGAGGAAUAUGGCACUGUUUUUCCUGCACUCUACCCACCUAUUGCUGGACUUCUGUUUAUACCAAGUUGGCAGACACUGGCAGGAACUGGGCUGCAAUAAAACAUGGCAGUUAUUAAUGCUGACAAGGAGUCUAACAAGUGCCAACAAAGAUUUGUGCAUUUUGAAAACUAAUGGAACUGCUUUAACCUUCAGGAAGAAUUGUAAAGAUGUGUACAUAGCACAACAUGAUCCGGAUAAUAUAUAUACUGUUCAUGUACAUCCACAAAUACACAUUGUACCAAAUAAUGCUGUCUUGUAGUUAGAAUAAGAAUCGUGUAAAUUCUAAAGAUUUUUAGCAGGUUCUUUUUUUCUCCACUCCAAUUCAUGGGGUUCUUUUCUUAUGAGCCUUUUCUCAAAUUUUCUCAUGAAGCAUGUUGGACUAAAACAAAUUAGGAUUAAAAAAAAUUCCAUUUUAACUUUUCUUUUCAGCCAUUAAAGCUUCAUUAAAAAUCUCACUUUAAUAAAAAUUUAAUACCUUUGUAACUUCCUUCCCCUCAACAUUUUUUGGGAGUACAUUAAUAAAACAUUGAGAUCUGUCAUUUGAUUCUGAUGAUGACUUGAGCAUUGUCAUCAGGUGAUGCAUUUAUUCCCCUUAUGUUUUUACCUAGCUGUGCUCAUCUUUUGGCUUGGAUGCAGCAAUAAGAUUUACAGCCAUGAAUUACGCUUGAGCCUACUAGUUGUUCCCAAAAGGGCUGAGAGCAUUUGCUUUGAAAGUGGUCAGCUAUGUAAGUUAGCCCAAUAUAGGUUGAACCACUUUUUUUAAUUUCUUGCCUGAUUUGAAGUUGGAUAAAUAAAAGCAUGCAGAGCUAUAGGCUUCAAGUGAGUUCUGGUUUUGCUAUCAUAUACUCUCCCCUCUUUUACCUCUUCUUUUUCCUCUUUUUUGCAUUCUGAUCCCAUACAGAUUUUCCUCACUUAAUGUAUAAAGAGAAAUUGCAAUGUAUAUUUUCAUGUAACUUGAUUUUGGAAUUCUGUCACCUUCUGUAGUGAGUUCUUCCAAAAUAUAAAUUUUUCCAAUA